rnacentral:rRNA from 1 species
AUCCGCCCGGGUACUACGAGCACAGCUUAAAACCCAAAGGACUUGGCGGUGUCUCAGACCCACCUAGAGGAGCCUGUUCUAGAACCGAUAACCCCCGUUAAACCUCACCACUCCUUGUUUUCCCCGCCUAUAUACCGCCGUCGUCAGCUUACCCUGUGAAGGCUUAGCAGUAAGCAAAAUGGGCAAACCCAAAAACGUCAGGUCAAGGUGUAGCGUACGGAGUGGGAAGAAAUGGGCUACAUUUUCUAUACAAAGAAUAUUACGGAUGGUGUUUUGAAAAAAAUACUCUGAAGGUGGAUUUAGUAGUAAAAAGCAAACAGAGUGUCCUC